GAGUUUGAUCCUGGCUCAGGAUGAACGCUAGCGGCAGGCUUAACACAUGCAAGUCGAGGGGUAACAUAGGAAGCUUGCUUUCUGAUGACGACCGGCGCACGGGUGCGUAACGCGUAUACAAUCUACCUUAUACUGGGGUAUAGCCUUUAGAAAUGAAGAUUAAUCCCCCAUAGUCUCUUAGAGUGGCAUCGUUUUAGGAGUAAAGGUUACGGUAUAAGAUGAGUAUGCGUUCUAUUAGUUUGUUGGUGUGGUAACGGCACACCAAGACUACGAUAGAUAGGGGCCCUGAGAGGGGGAUCCCCCACACUGGUACUGAGACACGGACCAGACUCCUACGGGAGGCAGCAGUGAGGAAUAUUGGACAAUGGAGGCAACUCUGAUCCAGCCAUGCCGCGUGCAGGAAGACUGCCCUAUGGGUUGUAAACUGCUUUUAUACAGGAAGAAAUGUACCUACGUGUAGGUAUU
rnacentral:rRNA from 1 species